GGUAAGUUGGCUGAAUCGGUAAAAGCUCCGGAUUUAAAAUCCGGCAUCGGAAACGGUACGUGAGUUCGAACCUCACACUUACCGCCA
rnacentral:tRNA from 1 species